CCUACGGGAGGCAGCAGUGGGGAAUAUUGGACAAUGGGCGCAAGCCUGAUCCAGCAAUGCCGCGUGAGUGAAGAAGGUCUUCGGAUUGUAAAGCUCUUUCGACGGGGACGAUGAUGACGGUACCCGUAGAAGAAGCCCCGGCUAACUUCGUGCCAGCAGCCGCGGUAAUACGAAGGGGGCUAGCGUUGCUCGGAAUGACUGGGCGUAAAGGGCGCGUAGGCGGUUCGUACAGUCAGACGUGAAAUUCCCGGGCUCAACCUGGGGCUGCGUUUGAUACGUACGGACUUGAGUUCGGAAGAGGGUAGUGGAAUUCCCAGUGUAGAGGUGAAAUUCGUAGAUAUUGGGAAGAACACCGGUGGCGAAGGCGGCUACCUGGUCCGAUACUGACGCUGAGGCGCGAAAGCGUGGGGAGCAAACAGGAUUAGAUACCCUGGUAGUCCACGCCGUAAACGAUGUGUGCUGGAUGUUUGGCAGCUUAGCUGUUCAGUGUCGUAGCUAACGCGAUAAGCACCACCGCGUGGGAGUCGGCCGCGAGGUGAACUCGAAAGAUUGACGCUGAGACGNGCCGACGCGACGACGAGGGAGUAG
rnacentral:rRNA from 1 species